rnacentral:rRNA from 1 species
GAGGAGCCCGCGGCUGAUUAGCUAGUUGGUGAGGUAAUGGCUCACCAAGGCUACGAUCAGUAUCCGGUCUGAGAGGACGGUCGGACACACUGGAACUGAGACACGGUCCAGACUCCUACGGGAGGCAGCAGUGGGGAAUUUUUGGCAAUGGGGGAAACCCUGACCAAGCAACGCCGCGUGGGUGAUGAAGUCCCUUGGGACGUAAAACCCUUUCGACGGGGAAGAAACCGCAAGGUUGACGGUACCCGUAGAAGAAGCCCCGGCUAACUCCGUGCCAGCAGCCGCGGUAAUACGGGGGGGGCGAGCGUUGUUCGGAAUUACUGGGCGUAAAGGGUGCGUAGGCGGCUCGCUAAGUCGGAUGUGAAAACUCUGGGCUUAACCCAGAGCCUGCAUUCAAUACUGGCAGGCUAGAGUUCUGGAGGGGAUAGCGGAAUUCCUGGUGUAGCGGUGAAAUGCGUAGAUAUCAGGAGG